UCUUUAAUUGCCAGCAUUCAGUUGGGCACUUUAAGAGACUGCCGGUGUUAAACCGGAGGAAGGUGGGAUGACGUCAAGUCCUCAUGGCCUUUAUGCUUAGGGCUACACACGUGCUACAAUGGGUGGUACAAAGAGAAGCCAACUCGCGAGAGCGCGCCAAUCUCAAAAAGCCAUCCUCAGUUCGGAUUGGAGUCUGCAACUCGACUCCAUGAAGUUGGAAUCGCUAGUAAUCGCGGAUCAGCAUGCCGCGGUGAAUACGUUCCCGGGCCUU
rnacentral:rRNA from 1 species